rnacentral:rRNA from 1 species
GAUCCUGGCUCAGGAUGAACGCUAGCUACAGGCUUAACACAUGCAAGUCGAGGGGAAACGACAUCGAAAGCUUGCUUUUUGAUGGGCGUCGACCGGCGCACGGGUGAGUAACGCGUAUCCAACCUGCCCACCACUUGGGGAUAACCUUGCGAAAGUAAGACUAAUACCCAAUGACAUCCCACCGAAGACAUCUGAAUGGGAUUAAAGAUUAUCGGUGAUGGAUGGGGAGUGCGUCUGAUUAG